GAUGAACGCUAGCUACAGGCUUAACACAUGCAAGUCGAGGGGCAGCAUGGUCUUAGCUUGCUAAGGCCGAUGGCGACCGGCGCACGGGUGAGUAACACGUAUCCAACCUGCCGUCUACUCUUGGACAGCCUUCUGAAAGGAAGAUUAAUACAAGAUGGCAUCAUGAGUCCGCAUGUUCACAUGAUUAAAAGGUAUUCCGGUAGACGAUGGGGAUGCGUUCCAUUAGAUAGUAGGCGGGGUAACGGCCCACCUAGUCUUCGAUGGAUAGGGGUUCUGAGAGGAAGGUCCCCCACAUUGGAACUGAGACACGGUCCAAAACUCCUACGGGAGGCAGCAGUGAGGAAUAUUGGUCAAAUGGACGAGAGUCUGAACCAGCCAAGUAGCGUGCAGGAUGACGGCCCUAUGGGUUGUAAACUGCUUUUAUAAGGGAUAAAAGUGAGUCUCGUGAGACUUUUUGCAUGUACCUUNGAAUAAGGACCGGCUAA
rnacentral:rRNA from 1 species